rnacentral:rRNA from 1 species
GACGAAGGAUGCAAGCGUUAUCCGGAUUCAUUGGGUUUAAAGGGAGCGUAGGCGGACUUGUAAGUCAGUGGUGAAAUCUGUGGGCUUAACCCACAAACUGCCAUUGAUACUGCAGGUCUAGAGUACAGUUGCCGUUGGCGGAAUAUGACAUGUAGUGGUGAAAUACUUAGAUAUGUCAUAGAACACCGAUUGCGAAGGCAGCUAACGAGCUGUAACUGACGCUGAGGCUCGAAAGUGCGGGGAGCAAACAGG